rnacentral:sRNA from 1 species
GGGCUCUCUUCUACCUCUUCAGCUCCUUCACCUCUGAGCUGCCCUGGACGACCUGCAACAACUUUUGGAACACAGAGCAUUGCAUGGACUUUCUGAACCACUCAGGAGCCGGCACAGUGACCCCACCUGAGAAUUUUACCUCACCUGUCAUGGAAUUCUGGGAGAGGCGAGUUCUGGGCAUCACCUCGGGCAUCCAUGACCUGGGCGCCCUGCGCUGGGAGCUGGCCCUGUGCCUCCUGCUCGCCUGGGUCAUCUGCUAUUUCUGCAUCUGGAAGGGGGUCAAGUCUACAGGCAAGGUAGUUUAUUUCACAGCCACGUUUCCGUACCUGAUGCUUGUCAUUUUGCUGAUCCGAGGUGUCACCCUUCCCGGAGCCUACCAGGGCAUCAUCUAUUACUUGAAGCCAGAUUUGUUCCGCCUCAAGGACCCUCAGGUAUGUACCGUGCUGGGACCACUUCCCCAGGUGCCUUCCCCACCCAGCCAAGUCUGUAGUUUUGAGAGUCUUGUAUUGCUUUUUCCUUGGUUUAAAAGCAAUAGAUGCCCACUGGAGAAAAAUUAG